rnacentral:rRNA from 1 species
UACGUAGGGUGCAAGCGUUGUCCGGAUUCAUUGGGCGUAAAGGGCUAGUAGGCGGCUUAGCAAGUCGGGUGUGAAAUUUCCAGGCUUAACCUGGAACCGCCAUCCGAUACUGCUAUGGCUAGAGUCCGGUAGGGGACCACGGAAUACCUGGUGUAGCGGUGAAAUGCGUAGAUAUCUGGAGGAACACCGGUGGCGAAGGCGGCAUCCUGGACCGGCAUUGACGCUGAGGCGCGAAAGCUAGGGGAGCAAACGGG